rnacentral:sRNA from 2 species
AAACUUGUUUUCUAGGGUUCCGCGAUAGAAUGAAGGCUAUCGGUCAGGUCCAAGAGAAGACACACGAUGAGCUUCAUCGUGCACACGGAGGGAUAAAAGCCCGGGAGGA